UUGCCGAGUCCAAGUUCAUCUGACCAGAGCCCUGUAUGUACCCUUUUCUUCAAAGCCUUUAACUUUUCAUAGACUCGAGCAAGGUUCAGCCCAGAGCCGGAGGAGCAAUGUCGAUCUCCCCAUCUGCCUACCACUAGUCAGCCAGAAAAGUAAAACAAAGUCAAAGCCAUCAUCCAGUCAAAGUACAGUUAGGGUAUCCCAGAAAUGAAAGAAAAGAAUAGCAAAAGAGUGUGAUAUAGUGCCUGACUUCCCGACUGAAGAAUUAAUCCUUUCAGUACAGGAUUGGCCAGCCCUGUGGGAUAAUACCCAUGAAAAACAUUCUGAUAAUUACCACACAAAAAAGAUG